GGCAGGCACCGGGCACACUGCUGGCAGCAUAGCCAGGUUGGAAUAGAUGGGUAUCUGUCAGCUAGGAUGCUUUAAGAUUAUUAAUAAAUAUAUCAGGUCUCCAUGUCAUUAUUCAGAUACAAGGGAGGAUGUAGAAAAGCCCUGGACUUUUACGGGGGCUGCUUCUCCAGAAGUCAGAGCCUCACAGUGAAUUCACUUCUGUCCAGGGGCACAGAAUAGGGGGGGUCACACCCAUGCACUCCUGCUUGGUGCAGUGUUGGCCCCGGAAGCCCUUUCAGUUCACUGCUGUCUUCCGUGGCUGUGGUAGCCUUCUUGGACUGUGGACAGAAGUAUGACAGGUGCUGAGACAAAGAGUGGAGCACGGAUUUCCCUUGUCCAGCGAGCAGUUGCCCAAGGUGCAGAAAAAAAAUUCCCUGCCACAGUCUCUCAUUCUCCUCAGGCUGCCAGUCCUCUGGCAGGAGAGGAAGGGACGCAGCAGGCUCUGUCCCCACAUUUGUCUUUACUUGAAGCAUUUCUCAAUAACAAGUGCAAAAGUAGAACUGUAAAUAAAAC
rnacentral:lncRNA from 1 species